AAAGUGAUGUGAAAGUAGUUACUGAGGAUACGUGAGGAUUGCAAACCAGUCUCCCUGGAUAUUCAAAGGAGUUGACGGACAAUUUGAUUGAAGACUUUAGCUCCAUGAAACUAGCUGAUUUUAGCGUAACAAAUAAGGUUUUUACUGCGUUGCAACUGGCUCCAGACUGGAAUUUAUAACCAAGACUAAAUAUUCAAGUGCCUAUCUGAAGUACUUAACAACAAGUUGUAUUAAGAUCUUAUGAAGUUAAUACCUACAUAAGAAACUAAAUUGGCAUAUCAUUCUGCUACUGAAUAAUCAAGAAGCAGUUUUUUAGCUAAUAAAUAAGAAGAGAACCUUAUGCUUGAUAUUUCAGAACACUAAUAAUAAUUGUGAUGUGAUUUAAUAUGAUACUUAAUAAACACAAAAUACAGCAAAAACCAUGUUUCAUUUCAUUAUUUACCUGUUGAUGUUGCACUUGACUAAGAGGUCAUUCAUGAUCCUAUUGAUUUAUAAAGGCUUGAUAGGAAGUA